CGGUGCCAGGGACGAGGCCUGGAGAGCAGUCGCUCCCAGAACCGGGGCGCCAAGGGCACCCCCGUCUCCAGCACGCGCCCUCCGCCCUCCCGGCCUCGCUCCCCCGGGAGUGGGAGCCUCUCCCGCCCCGAUGCCGGUCACUCAGCAACGUCUGGGCAGUCUUCGCCCGGUUAGUGGCAACGCGGCCGCGCGAAUUCGCACAGGUGACCUCAAAGCAGCAGCUCUGAAUUCGCCUCUCAUCUGACGACUGACCGCUGCUGCUGCCGCCAGCCUCUGUCCCCUUCCCGGGCCUGUCACAGAGCUGCCUCUCAGCAGGGGCAGUAGAAUAAAAGAGGGCAUGUCUAAUAACAGCACCACUAGCAUCUCCCAAGCCAGGAAAGCUGUGGAACAGCUAAAGAUGGAAGCCUGUAUGGACAGGGUCAAGGUCUCCCAGGCAGCUGCGGACCUCCUGGCCUACUGUGAAGCUCACGUGCGGGAAGAUCCUCUCAUCAUUCCAGUGCCUGCGUCAGAAAACCCCUUUCGCGAGAAGAAGUUCUUUUGUACCAUUCUCUAACUUCACGUGUGAUGAAAACGCCUCCUUUUCUGACCUUCAAAGUCCCCUGUAGAGACCAUGCAUGCUCUAAGCCUUAGGGAGUGAGACCAACACCCAUCCCUGCCCAGCCAAUGGUGGCCGGGGCUUGUCUUAUGUUUUCAUCUGUUUUCUUCGUGGCAUUCAAUUUCAUUUUUUUCUUUCCAUUUUCAUGUUAUUUUCAUUAUUGGCAAAGAAAAUCAAAAUUUUUAUAGCCAAAUAACAAAUGUGCCAUGUAAAAAUAAGUCUGGACUUAAGAGUUUAAAAUUUUUAAACAUCAGUUUCCAAGUUUAUAUCAUAUUAAUACAUUUCAGGGGACAACUUAUUUAAAAAAAAAAACUAUGCCUAAAUAUCUCUUAUUUGCAAUAUUCAGUAUCAAAUUAGAGCAUUUUGGCCAACUGAAACAAUGUUUUCAUCAACUUUCCUGGAGAAAGCAGCUGCAGAGGUUCUCUAGUUCCUGCAUUUCCAUCAUCCUAGUGAAAAGACAACCCACAGGAUUGGAAUGGUUUUCUUUGUUGUUGUUGUUGUUGUUGUUGUUGUUGUUGUUUUGAGACAGAGUCUCGCUCCGUUGCCCAGGCUGGAGUGCAGUGGUGCGACCUCAGCUCACUGCGACCUCCACCUCCCGGGUUCAAGCGAUUCUCCUGCCUCAGCCUCCUGAGUAGCUGGGAUUACAGGCACGCACCACCAUGCCCAGCUAAUUUUUUGUAUUUUUAAUAGAGACAGGGUUUCACCAUGUUGGUCAGGCUGGUCUCAAAUGCCUGACCUUGUGAUCCACCCGCCUCAGCCUCCCAAAGCGCUGGGAUUACAGGCGUGAGCCACCCCGCCCAGCCGUGGAAUGGUUUUCUUAACGUAUCCUCCCGGGGCCAUGGUGGAUGUCCCUUGUUUCAGUGGCCCUACAAAGAUAGAUGGUGGGCAGACACCGAAGUCAACUUGACUGUAAAAGUACCCCAUGCCGUUGAUAUGCUGUAGCAGACCUGUGUGUGCGGUCUCCCCUCUCCAAAUGCCACCUCUUCCUGCUCCCUCCUCUUUUGGCUCCUACUCAGUAGUUCCAUUGUGGGCUGCAGUAAUAUAAGGACCUGUUCUGGACACAGCUCUGGGCCCGCUGAGGUUUUACUAGGGCAGUCCCUCCUCUGCAGGAGUGAGUCAUGGUGACAGCAGCCCCCUGUGUGCCCCCUAGUCAUCUGAGCAUUGGUGUGCAUUAAGGUACUUAAUCUUCCAACAAUAAAUACCAUAAGUGCAUGUCUGUUUUGUUUUAUUUUUUCAUCUUUUUGAGACAGAGCCUUGCUCUGUUGCCCAGGCUGGAAUGCAAUGGCACAAUCUCAGCUCACCGCAACCUCCACUCCCAAGUUCAAAUGAUCCUCAUGUCUCAGCCUCCCUAGUAGCUGGGUUGACAAGCGCAGGCCAGCACACCUGGCUCAUUUUUGUAUUUUUAGUAGAGACGGGCUUUCACCAUGUUGGCCAGGCUGGUCUCCAACUCCUGGCCUCAAGUGAUCUGCCCACCUCAGCCUCCCAAAGUGCUGGGAUUAUAGGUGUGAGUCAGUGCACCCGGCCAUAUGUCUGUUUUAGAGUGAGGGGAAACUGAGGCACAAAAAGUUUAUGUAGUUUGCCCAAGGUUACACAUGGUAAGCAGAAAAACUGGGGUUUGAGGGCAGGCAGCCCAGCCCCAGAGUUCCCUUAGCCCCCUGAACUGUGCUACCUUCCAGGUCUACCUGUUUGCAGGUAGGGAGACCCGCAGACUAUCUUAACUGCACACCGUGAAGCAAACACCUUUGUUGCACCAACCCACGGCACACUUCACUUCCCACGUUCACCAGGAGGAAGCCGAAUUCUGGCAGUUUAAGGAAGGUGAUUCAUGGAUGCCCCAAGGAAACGCUAGACAUUGAUGAAUUAGCUCUUGGAUUGUCUAAGAUCAACCUGAAGGCCCUACCUAAACCAAACUCAUAGGACCCCGAUGAAAGAGGAGAAUACACUGUGGGAGCAGAGCUCUUUGUCUAAGUUUGUUCUAUUCUGUUUAUUUGGAAACUGCCUGUCUCCCUAGUUCUGACCGAGACUUGCUGUGUGAUACAGAGCAGGCCAUUGUGUGCCUGAAAUGUUCUAACCUGCAGAUUGGGUUUAAUGGUAAUUAUCCUGCCUUUCUGUCUAGAGGAAACAGAGAUGCUACAUAGAUGAAAGCUCUGAUUAUCAUUUAAAACAAAUAAAUGUACUAAAUGCCAUGGUAUAAUAUAGGGAAGAAUGGAUGACUUCAAAGAGACCAUGGUUCUGUUGGAUGAAUAAAAUUGCCUGCAAAGAGGCACAUAUAAUUUUCAGAUCAAUUAAUGACUUGCUGCCCUCGUAAAUGGAUUUAGGACAUUUUUAUUCCUUGCUUCUUUUGUAGCAAGGAAUGAUAAUGAAACCCAUUCUGAGUUUCAUUAUCAGCUCACUGGUAAUAUCAGUGUUGUUAAGAUGCUCAAACUAGAACAGAAUUGUAUGCUGGAUGUGACGCUAAGACCUCAGAUCCUUUGAUAGUGCAGUUUAUGACCAGGAUCUCUUUAUUCUGUGGUUCACGCCAACAUCAUUAACCCGAUGAAGCAAAGCACAAGUCACAAAAGCACAUCAGAGAAGCUGAGAAAGUGGGACAGCACAGAGAGUAUCAAAAAAAAUGCUGCUUUGUCAGGUCAAAAAAAUGCUGCUUUCCUCUUCCACCAAACUUCCUCCGCGUUGCUUUUACAUGUCCCGUCCUUCCAGAUUCAGACUCCCUUUUGUUCUCUCUCCUUUUCCUUUUCCUUCUCUCUUCCUUACCUCCCGCUAUGAGAUGCUUUUCUGUACUUUUAUUGCACCUCUUCCAGACCUAUGUCAUUUUGAGAUGGGUCACCCUUCCUAGAGUGGUCGUGAACCCAGCUUCCACUUCUUUUUUUGUUUGUUUUUGAGACAGUCUUGCUCUGUCGUCCAGGCUGAAGUGCAGUGGCGCAAUCUCGGCUCACUGCAACCUCCACCUCCUGGGAUCAAGCGAUUCUCGUGUCUCAGCCUCCCAAGGAGCUGGGAUUACAGGCACCCACCACCACACCUGGCUGAUUUUUGUAUUUUUAGUAGAGACAGAGUUUCACCAUGUUGGCCACGCUCAUCUCGAACCCCUGACCUCAAGUGGUCCACCCACCUUGGCCUCCCGAAGUGCUGGGAUUACAGGCGUGAGCCACAGCACCUGGCCUAGCUCCCUCUUCUUAGAUGCAGAUUUCUGCACAUGAGCUAUGAGAUCCACAGACAUGUCACUGACCUCCCCCACUCUGUCAGUGGAAGAUGAAUGGAAUAAAGCCUGCUUGCAUUAUGGAGUGCAGCUGUGAGAACAGUUGUCAUUUUUGUGUUUUCAGCUUAACUGUACAGCAUCUCCCCUCCCUUCCUGUAGCAGGGACAUCAUGCCUUAGAUAUAAACUUAGUGGUGGGUAGUACCCACCGUGGAAGCUGAAGAAAGGAGGUAUUCCCUGUCCCUCAGGCACACCCUGCUUCCAGCCCCAUACCAGUCGGGAAGUGGUCAUUGACCUGGGGUGGACUACCUGGACCCUUGCUUGGGGCUAUGAGCCUGGAGAAUGUGACACAGAAAUGAAGGGAUGCUGAGACUCAUUUCAAGGAAGUCACCGUGGUUCGGGGUUGGUAGUCAUCCAGUAAGGCAGGUGUCUAGCGCUGGCAGGCUGAAGGGAUGGUGUGUCCACUGGUAGCAAUGUCCAGGGAUGGCAGGGUCCUGGGAAUGUCAUUUCUGCUCCACUCAUUGGACUUGCUGAGCUGUCUCCGCCUCCACCUAUCUUACUACAGAUCUCCCUUCUAGUUUUCUGUCAAUUCUUUGAGCCGGCAAACUCCUUCCAGUACAUUCCUUAUUCUUUAAUGAAAUAGCCUGAGUUGGAUGUAAAUGUAUAUGACCUAACAAUUCCACCCCUAGGUGUAUACCCAACAGAAGUGUGUACCUGUGUUCAUCCAGAGAAAUGCCCUAAAUCUUCACAAAAACUCUCUCCAUAAUAACCCCAAACGGGAAAGCACCCAAAUGCCCAUGUUGGUUGGAUAAGCACAUUAGGGUAUAUUCACACGAUGGAAUCCCAGACUGCAAUGGGAAUGAGUUGCAACUCCACCCCCAGCUUGGAGUGUAUUCACCAACCUUGUGGUGAACAAGAUAAGGCAAAAAUGCACCAUAGGAUUCCAUUUAUAUACAGUGUAAAACCCAAAACUCAUCCUUGUGGUUGCAAGUAGAGAUCAGUCCUAAGAAGAUAGUAACCAGAAGAGGGACAUGAGGUGGUGGGUGCUUCUGGGAUGUUCUGUUUCUUGAUCUGGUUGCCGGUUACUUGGGUGCAUUCUGUUUGUGAACACUCUUGGAGCUGUACACUUUUGAUUUGGGCACUUUUCUGUGUAUAUGUUAUGCUUUAAUAAAAAGUUGGGCUUUGUGACUUGCAA